GAUGAACGCUGGCGGCGUGCCUAAUACAUGCAAGUCGAACGCAUUGAGAGAAGUGCUUGCACUUUUCAAUUUGAGCGGCGAACGGGUGAGUAACACGUGGGCAACCUACCUGAUAGCGGGGGAUAACGAGUGGAAACAUUCGCUAAUACCGCAUAACAAUAGAGAAGGCAUCUUCUUUAUUUAAAAGGCGCUUUCAAGCGUCACUAUCAGAUGGGCCCGCGGUGCAUUAGUUAGUUGGUGGGGUGAAGGCCUACCAAGACGAUGAUGCAUAGCCGAGUUGAGAGGCUGAUCGGCCACAUUGGGACUGAGACACGGCCCAAACUCCUACGGGAGGCUGCAGUAGGGAAUCUUCCACAAUGGACGAAAGUCUGAUGGAGCAACGCCGCGUGUGUGAUGAAGGCUUUCGGGUCGUAAAGCACUGUUGUAUGGGAAGAAAUGCUAGGCUAGGAAAUGAGCUUAGUUUGACGGUACCAUACCAGAAAGGGACGGCUAAAUACGUGCCAGCCGCCGCAGUAA
rnacentral:rRNA from 1 species